rnacentral:rRNA from 1 species
AUUGAACGCUGGCGGCAUGCCUUACACAUGCAAGUCGAACGGCAGCAUGAUCUAGCUUGCUAGAUUGAUGGCGAGUGGCGAACGGGUGAGUCAUACAUCGGAACGUGCCCUGUAGUGGGGGAUAACUAGUCGAAAGAUUAGCUAAUACCGCAUACGACCUGAGGGUGAAAGUGGGGGACCGCAAGGCCUCAUGCUAUAGGAGCGGCCGAUGUCUGAUUAGCUAGUUGGUGAGGUAAAGGCUCACCAAGGCGACGAUCAGUAGCUGGUCUGAGAGGACGAUCAGCCACACUGGGACUGAGACACGGCCCAGACUCCUACGGGAGGCAGCAGUGGGGAAUGUUGGACAAUGGGCGAAAGCCUGAUCCAGCAAUGCCGCGUGUGUGAAGAAGGCCUUCGGGUUGUAAAGCACUUUUGUCCGGAAAGAAAUGGCUCUGGUUAAUACCUGGGGUCGAUGACGGUACCGGAAGAAUAAGGACCGGCUAACUACGUG